CUUCCAUGAAGAGAUGAUGACGAGUCUGACUGGAGGUGGUCGCUUUGGCCAGCCAGGGGGCUCAGCUCUGUGCUGCGUUCUGUGGCACAGUUUGAGGAACCCUGGUCCAAAGUAACUUCCAGAAGAUGACCUAGAGGCAUUUGUCUGAGAAGG